CUAACACAUGCAAGUCGAGCGGCAGCACAAGGGAGUUUACUCCUGAGGUGGCGAGCGGCGGACGGGUGAGUAAUGCCUAGGGAUCUGCCCAGUCGAGGGGGAUAACAGUUGGAAACGACUGCUAAUACCGCAUACGCCCUACGGGGGAAAGAGGGGGACCUUCGGGCCUCUCGCGAUUGGAUGAACCUAGGUGGGAUUAGCUAGUUGGUGAGGUAAUGGCUCACCAAGGCGACGAUCCCUAGCUGUUCUGAGAGGAUGAUCAGCCACACUGGGACUGAGACACGGCCCAGACUCCUACGGGAGGCAGCAGUGGGGAAUAUUGCACAAUGGGGGAAACCCUGAUGCAGCCAUGCCGCGUGUGUGAAGAAAGCCUUCGGGUUGUAAAGCACUUUCAGUAGGGAGGAAAGGGUGAGUCUUAAUACGGCUCAUCUGUGACGUUACCUACAGAAGAAGGACCGGCUAACUCCGUGCCAGCAGCCGCGGUAAUACGGAGGGUCCGAGCGUUAAUCGGAAUUACUGGGCGCUUAAGCGUGCGCAGGCGGUUUG
rnacentral:rRNA from 1 species